rnacentral:rRNA from 1 species
CAAUAGCGUAUAUUUAAGUUGUUGCAGUUAAAAAGCUCGUAGUUGGAUUUCGGGUGGGACGCAGCGGUCUCGCAUUGCGUUUGUACUGCUGCAGCCCUCCUUCUUGCCGGGGGCGGCCUCUCGGACUUCACUGUCUGGGGGUCAGAAUCGGCGAUGUUACUUUGAGUAAAUUAGAGUGUUCAAAGCAAGCUUACGCUCUGAAUAUAAUAGCAUGGGAUAACACGAUAGGACUCUGGCUUAUCUUGUUGGUCUGUGAGACCAGAGUAAUGAUUAAGAGGGACAGUCGGGGGCAUUCGUAUUUCAUUGUCAGAGGUGAAAUUCUUGGAUUUAUGAAAGACGAACUUCUGCGAAAGCAUUUGUCAAGGAUGUUUUCAUUAA